UACAGAGGUCCCAAGCGUUACUGAGAAUCACUGGGUUUAAAGGGUGCGUAGGUGGCACGUUAAGUCAGUUGUGAAAUCCCCGGGCUCAACCCGGGAACUGCUUCUGAUACUGGCGUGCUUGAGGCCAGUAGGGGUCACUAGAACUGACGGUGGAGCGGUGAAAUGCGUAGAUAUCGUCAGGAAUGCCGGUGGUGAAGACGGGUGACUGGGCUGGUUCUGACACUGAGGCACGAAAGCGUGGGGAGCGAACAGG
rnacentral:rRNA from 1 species